rnacentral:rRNA from 1 species
UACGGAGGGUGCAAGCGUUGUUCGGAAUCAUUGGGCGUAAAGGGCGCGUAGGCGGGUCGUUAAGUCCGACGUGAAAUCCCUCGGCUCAACCGAGGAAGUGCAUCGGAUACUGGCGGUCUUGAGUCCUGGAGAGGGUAGCGGAAUUCCCAGUGUAGAGGUGAAAUUCGUAGAUAUUGGGAGGAACACCGGUGGCGAAGGCGGCUACCUGGACAGUGACUGACGCUGAGGCGCGAAAGCAUGGGUAGCAAACAGG